GGCAUGAGCAGCUGUUGAUGUAAACAAUGUUCACUUUUUGUUCUUGUUUUAUAACGUAUCAAAUUGUUUUUCAGCAUUCAGAUGUAACACUUCCCUAUGUGGCUUACAAGUCCAUCCAUCCCUUCCAAUUCAUUCGGAAAGUGGUUCCUAAAGGUUAUAAUACACUUUAAAAAAAAACCGCAGGGUUUGUUUUCUACAAAACCAAAUUAUUAUCUAUAAAACCAAACAGGCCUGCA